GUUUAGCAAAAAAAUCUUUAUUUAUUUUCCCAUUUUUCUCUUACUUCUGUCCUAAAUUCCUAGUUCAUGAAGUCAUACAAAACUAGAAGUUCAGGAGGCCACAUCAACAGCAGAAAAGACAAAAGAGUGGCCUGGGCGAAGCCAAAGCAUGGAGAAAUGCCUUUAGUUAUUAUUACCAGAAUAAAUGAAGAAACUGCACGCCA